CGCAGGCCUGUUUUCUGUGGUGGUUUCGGAUGUGCGAGCAGCGGCGGCAUCGUCCCGCGUUUUCAUCAUCGGACCUUCCCGCGGCAAGGUCCAACCAUGCAGCGCUGUAGAUUCUCGGGCUCAUGUCAAAGGACUGCACGGCGGAGCGCCCCAAAUUGAGAAGGCACCGCACGCCGGAGCGACUGCCCCGAAAUGUUUGAACUCACGGUGGUCGGGGAUCCCGCUGUGCACAGCAUUGCAGCGUCUCCAACGCACUGCGUGGGAAAAAAGAAAGUAAAAUGAGGUGUCAUUUUGGAGGAAGAAAUUCUGGCAGGAAGUGGAGCCGCACAGGGAGAGGUUGCCCAAGAUAGGUAGGCUGACGGCUGAACGUUUUGUUGGAGCCAAGAAAAAAGAAAAAAGAAGCACGCAUUAUGAAAACACUUGCCGGCGGUACUAAUAUUGUCAUUGUGUGUUGGUGGUGUUGAAGAAGCAGAAGACACUACAAGAAAUACGCAAACUUGCGUUUUUCCCGCGCACCUUAAAACAUUUUUUUUGCGAUUACUGUUGCUUUUCGACGUUUUGGUGCACGCAUUCAUGGUGAAAUGAGGGUAGCGCGACAAACUCCUGCUACUACGCAUUUACUACUGCUUGGACUUAAAUACUGGCCUGUUUGUUCAAAUAAACUCAUUAGUUUCGAGUAUAAGCGUUUGUGGCGUCUAUUUUUCUUCGUCCUUGUUCGACGCGCCGCCCUUAUUUCACCACAGACUGCAGAUUUGUUCUUGCACGAACUCCGCAA